CACUCCUACGGGAGACAGCAGUGGGGAAUAUUGGACAAUGGGCGCAAGCCUGAUCCAGCCAUGCCGCGUGAGUGAUGAAGGCCCUAGGGUUGUAAAGCUCUUUCACCGGUGAAGAUAAUGACGGUAACCGGAGAAGAAGCCCCGGCUAACUUCGUGCCAGCAGCCGCGGUAAUACGAAGGGGGCUAGCGUUGUUCGGAUUUACUGGGCGUAAAGCGCACGUAGGCGGACUAUUAAGUCAGGGGUGAAAUCCCGGGGCUCAACCCCGGAGCUGCCUUUGAUACUGGUAGUCUUGAGUUCGAGAGAGGUGAGUGGAAUUCCGAGUGUAGAGGUGAAAUUCGUAGAUAUUCGGAGGAACACCAGUGGCGAAGGCGGCUCACUGGCUCGAUACUGACGCUGAGGUGCGAAAGCGUGGGGAGCAAACAGGAUUAGAAACCCGAGUAGUCCCAUG
rnacentral:rRNA from 1 species